rnacentral:rRNA from 1 species
GACGAACGCUGGCGGCGUGCUUAACACAUGCAAGUCGAACGGAAAGGCCCUGCUUUUGUGGGGUGCUCGAGUGGCGAACGGGUGAGUAACACGUGAGUAACCUGCCCUUGACUUUGGGAUAACUUCAGGAAACUGGGGCUAAUACCGGAUAGGAGCUCCUGCUGCAUGGUGGGGGUUGGAAAGUUUCGGCGGUUGGGGAUGGACUCGCGGCUUAUCAGCUUGUUGGUGGGGUAGUGGCUUACCAAGGCUUUGACGGGUAGCCGGCCUGAGAGGGUGACCGGCCACAUUGGGACUGAGAUACGGCCCAGACUCCUACGGGAGGCAGCAGUGGGGAAUAUUGCACAAUGGGCGGAAGCCUGAUGCAGCAACGCCGCGUGCGGGAUGACGGCCUUCGGGUUGUAAACCGCUUUCGCCUGUGACGAAGCGUGAGUGACGGUAAUGGGUAAAGAAGCACCGGCUAACUACGUGCCAGCAGCCGCGGUGAUACGUAGGGUGCGAGCGUUGUCCGGACUUAUUGGGCGUAAAGGGCUCGUAGGUGGUUGAUCGCGUCGGAAGUGUAAUCUUGGGGCUUAACCCUGAGCGUGCUUUCGAUACGGGUUGACUUGAGGAAGGUAGGGGAGAAUGGAAUUCCUGGUGGAGCGGUGGAAUGCGCAGAUAUCAGGAGGAACACCAGUGGCGAAGGCGGUUCUCUGGGCCUUUCCUGACGCUGAGGAGCGAAAGCGUGGGGAGCGAACAGGCUUAGAUACCCUGGUAGUCCACGCUGUAAACGGUGGGUACUAGGUGUGGGGUCCAUUCCACGGGUUCCGUGCCGUAGCUAACGCUUUAAGUACCCCGCCUGGGGAGUACGGCCGCGAGGCUAAAACUCAAAGGAAUUGACGGGGCCCCGCACAAGCGGCGGAGCAUGCGGAUUAAUUCGAUGCAACGCGUAGAACCUUACCUGGGUUUGACAUGGAUCGGGAGUGCUCAGAGAUGGGUGUGCCUCUUUUGGGGUCGGUUCACAGGUGGUGCAUGGCUGUCGUCAGCUCGUGUCGUGAGAUGUUGGGUUAAGUCCCGCAACGAGCGCAACCCUUGUUCACUGUUGCCAGCACGUUAUGGUGGGGACUCAGUGGAGACCGCCGGGGUCAACUCGGAGGAAGGUGGGGAUGACGUCAAGUCAUCAUGCCCCUUAUGUCCAGGGCUUCACGCAUGCUACAAUGGCUGGUACAGAGAGUGGCGAGCCUGUGAGGGUGAGCGAAUCUCGGAAAGCCGGUCUCAGUUCGGAUUGGGGUCUGCAACUCGACCUCAUGAAGUCGGAGUCGCUAGUAAUCGCAGAUCAGCAACGCUGCGGUGAAUACGUUCCCGGG